UGCAACUCACCCAUGCGCCACCCGUGGGCUUUGCCCAUACUUUAGGCCCCUGAGAUUUUAUUAUUUAAUAUCUUUAAAUAAUUUGGGUUUUUAUAUUUUUUCACCCACAUUUUUAAUUUGGCCCGAAAUCCAAAUAAUUAAUUCCAUUAUAAUUUACAAUACUUUUGCAUAUACUUGUUGCAUAUUUGUUUGCAUAUAUAUUUGCGUUUGCCUGCAGGAAUAUAUGAACCUGAAGUUCAUAAUUACUUUGAAACCUAAAGUUUCUUAUAAGCAUGCCUUGUUUGAAAACCUGAAGUUUUCACUUAAACAUAUCACCCAUGAAAACUCGAAGUUUUUCAUGCAAAAUAAACCAAUACAUGU
rnacentral:lncRNA from 1 species